rnacentral:rRNA from 1 species
UAAGCCUACGGGGCGCAGCAGUGAGGAAUAUUGGUCAAUGGGCGCGAGCCUGAACCAGCCAAGUCGCGUGAGGGAUGACGGCCCUACGGGUCGUAAACCUCUUUUGCCGGGGAGCAAGGGCGGGGACGUGUCCCGGCCCGGAGAGUACCCGGAGAAAAAGCAUCGGCUAACUCCGUGCCAGCAGCCGCGGUAAUACGGAGGAUGCGAGCGUUAUCCGGAUUUAUUGGGUUUAAAGGGUGCGUAGGCGGGCUUUUAAGUCAGCGGUAAAAAUUCGGGGCUCAACCCCGUCCGGCCGUCGAAACUGG